rnacentral:rRNA from 1 species
UGAAUACGAGAUGCUACGGCGUCGAAGCAGUCUAUGUCAUACUUCCAAGAAAAGCUCGCACUGUCAUAAACAAAUAAUGCCUGUACCAUAACCGACACAGGUGGGUAGGUAGAGUAUACUAAGGGGCGCGAGAUAACUCUCUCUAAGGAACUCGGCAAAAUGACUCCGUAACUUCGGGAGAAGGAGUGCCUUAUUUAUAAGGUUGCAAUAACAAGAUCCAAGCAACUGUUUAUCAAAAACACAGGUCUCCGCUAAGUCGUAAGACGAUGUAUGGGGGCUGACGCCUGCCCAGUGCCAGAAGGUUAAAGAAGUUGGUUAGCAUUCGCGAAGCUGAUAACUGAAGCCCUGGUGAACGGCGGCCGUAACAAUAACGGUCCUAAGGUAGCGAAAUUCCUUGUCGGGUAAGUUCCGACCCGCACGAAAGGCGUAAUGAUUUGGAUACUGUCUCGGAGAGGGGCUCGGUGAAAUAGACUUGUCUGUGAAGAUGCGGACUACCUGCACCAGGACAGAAAGACCCUAUGAAGCUUUACUGUAACUUGAGAUUGAAAUUGGACUUUACUUGCGCAGUAUAGGUGGGAGGCGUUGAUAAUAUUCUUGCGGGAUUAUUUGAGCCAUCAGUGAGAUACCACUCUUGUAAUGUUAGAUCUCUAACUUUGUAUCAUUAUCUGGUCAAAGGACAGUUUCAGGCGGGCAGUUUGACUGGGGCGGUCGCCUCCUAAACGGUAACGGAGGCGCACAAAGGUUUCCUCUGAACGGGUAGAAAUCGUAUCUAGAGUGUAAAGGCAUAAGGAAGCUUGACUGUGAGACCUACAAGUCGAGCAGGGACGAAAGUCGGUCUUAGUGAUCUGACGGUGCUGAGUGGAAAGGCCGUCACUCAACGGAUAAAAGUUACUCUAAGGAUAACAGGCUGAUCUCCCCCAAGAGUUCACAUCGACGGGGAGGUUUGGCACCUCGAUGUCGGCUCAUCGCAUCCUGGGGCGGUAGUACGUCCCAAGGGUUGGGCUGUUCGCCCAUGAAAGCGGUACGCGAGCUGGGUUCAGAACGUCGUGAGACAGUUCGGUCCAUAUCCGGUGUAGGCGUUAGAAUAUUGAGAGGAGCCUUCUUUAGUACGAGAGGACCGAGAAGGACAUACCUCUGGUGUACCAGUUAUCGUGCCAACGGUAAACGCUGGGUAGCUAUGUAUGGAGUGGAUAACCGCUGAAAGCAUCUAAGUGGGAAGCCCACCUCAAGAUAAGUAUUCCC